AAUUACCCACUCCCGGCACGGGGAGGUAGUGACAAAAAAUAACGAUACGGGACUCUUAUGAGGCCCCGUAAUCGGAAUGAGUACACUUUAAAUCCUUUAACAAGGAUCCAUUGAAGGGCAAGUCUGGUGCCAGCAGCCGCGGUAAUUCCAGCUUCAAUAGCGUAUAUUAAAGUUGUUGCGGUUAAAAAGCUCGUAGUUGGUUCUGCGUGCCACGCUGUCGGUUCGCCGCCUGCCGGUGUAACUGGCAUGCCGUGGCAUGUCCUGUCGGUGGCGUUCGGGAGCCUCGUUUAGGUGCCGGCCCAAGCCUCAAAGCUUGGUGCUCGGAGGCCGGGGGUAUACCCGUUCGCCUACUCUAUCCUACCUAGGUGCUCUUCACCGAGUGUCGAGGUAGGCCGACACGUUUACUUUGAACAAAUUAGAGUGCUCAAAGCAGGCUGAAAUCUCUGCCUGAAUAGUGGUGCAUGGAAUAAUAAAACAGGACCUUGGUUCUAUUUUGUUGGUUCUUAGGAACACAAGGUAAUGAUCAAUACGGACAGGCGGGGGCAUUCGUAUUGCGACGUUAGAGGUGAAAUUCUUGGAUCGUCGCAAGACGCACAAGAGCGAAAGCAUUUGCCAAGUAUGUCUUGAUUGAUCAAGAACGAAAGUUAGAGGUUCGAAGGCGAUCAGAUACCGCCCUAGUUCUAACCAUAAACGAUGCCAGCCAGCGAUCCGCCGAUGUUCCUCCGAUGACUCGGCGGGGAGCUUCUUCCCGGGAAACCAAAGCUUUUGGGUUCCGGGGGAAGUAUGGUUGCAAAGCUGAAACUUAAAGGAAUUGACGGAAGGGCACCACCAGGAGUGGAGCCUGCGGCUUAAUUUGACUCAACACGGGAAACCUCACCAGGCCAGGACAUUGGAAGGAUUGACAGAUUGAUAGCUCUUUCUUGAUUCAGUGGGUAGUGGUGCAUGGCCGUUCUUAGUUGGUGGAUCGAUUUGUCUGGUUAAUUCCGAUAACGAACGAGACUCUAGCCUAUUAACUAGGCGUUUUCCGGUGUCCCCGCCACCGGCGACAUUCAUUCUUCUUAAGGGGACAGGCGGCUUUUAGCCGCACGAGAUUGAGCAAUAACAGGUCUGUGAUGCCCUUAGAUGUCCUGGGCCGCACGCGCGCUACACUGAAGGAAUCAGCGUGUGCCUCCCUGGCCGAAAGGCCCGGGUAAUCCGCUGAACCUCCUGCGUGCUAGGAAUUGGGGCUUGCAAUUGUUCCCCAUGAACGAGGAAUUCCCAGUAAGCGCGAGUCAUAAGCUCGCGUUGAUUACGUCCCUGCCCUUUGUACACACCGCCCGUCGCUACUACCGAUUGAAUGAUUUAGUGAGGUCUUCGGACUGGCGGUA
rnacentral:rRNA from 1 species